rnacentral:rRNA from 1 species
ACCUGCGGAAGGAUCAUUAUCGAGUUCAGAAGCGAGGUUGUAGCUGGCCUUCUCGGAGGCAUCGUGCACGCCCUGCCCGUCCCAUAUCAUACCUGUGAACUUUUUGGUAGGCGGGUUUGUGUCGGCCUCGAAAGGGGUCGACCGGCCCUCCGGCCGUCUUUAUAUACACACCAUACGAGUCUUUAGAAUGUUUGUGCGUCUCGACGCAUCUUAUAUAUAACUUUCAGCGACGGAUCUCUUGGCUCUCGCAUCGAUGAAGAACGCAGCGAAACGCGAUAAGUAAUGUGAAUUGCAGAAUUCAGUGAAUCAUCGAAUCUUUGAACGCACCUUGCGCUCCUCGGUAUUCCGAGGAGCAUGCCUGUUUGAGUGUCAUGAAAUUAUCAAUCCCUCCUCCUUCAUCGGCGGUGGGGCUUGGACUUGGAGGCUUUGCGGGCUUUUAACGAGUCGGCUCCUCUCAAAUGCAUUAGCUCGAACCCCUGCGGAUCGGCCUUCGGUGUGAUAUAAUGUCUACGUCGUGGUCGUGAGCGUCGGAUCGGCUUCUAAUGGUCCCCUUUCGGAGGCGGAAUUUGAACUUGUGACCUCAAAUCAGGUAGGACUACCCGCUGAACUUAAGCAUAUC